UGAGGAAUAUUGGUCAAUGGGCGAGAGCCUGAACCAGCCAAGUCGCUUGAAGGAAGACAGUCCUAAGGAUUGUAAACUUCUUUUAUACGGGAAUAACGGGCGAUACGAGUAUUGCAUUGAAUGUACCGUAAGAAUAAGCAUCGGCUACCUCCGUGCCAGCAGCCGCGGUAAUACGGAGGAUGCGAGCGUUAUCCGGAUUUAUUGGGUUUAAAGGGUGCGUAGGUUGUUCGGUAAGUCAGCGGUGAAACCUGAGCGCUCAACGUUCAGCCUGCCGUUGAAAGUGCCGGGCUUGAGUUCAGUGGCGGCAGGCGGAAUUCGGGGUGUAGCGGUGAAAUGCAUAGAUAUCACGAGGAACUCCGAUUGCGGAGGCAGCUUGCCAUACUGCGACUGACACUGAAGCACGAAGGCGUGGGUAUCAAACAGG
rnacentral:rRNA from 1 species